UGAAUCCAUCAUAACUUUACAAUGAGAGGUGAACAAAUGUUUAUAAGUUGCUAAUAUUAAACUAGCAAGAGCGUGUUUAUUUAUUUAUUGGGUUAGUCUAUGUAUUUGCGGUACUUAGGAGGUUAGUAGCAACUACGAUUAAAUUUUCAUGUUUCUAGUAAAUUUUGUGAGUGCAGAUAAGACUUAUUUUACGCGCCUAUUAACAUUCUGAAUGAUUUGCUUGAGCUACAAUUUUAAAUGUAAUAAGUAUUAGUAAAAUAUCUAUAGAAUUGGACUAUUUUUGGGGUUUCUUUUGUAUAAUUUGAAUGUUUGACAAAACACUUAUUGUAGCAUUCUCAUGUGCUGAGCUGCCUGGUUGAAUAUAUUAAUUUUGCAAAUUACAUGCUUAUUUCCAGCAUUUAUAAUUUUCAUCUUUUUUCCACAAGUCCACCUGUCUGAAAUGGUUUGGAGAAAGCCAUUUAUUAAGAUGAAAAAUGAAGUUAUG
rnacentral:misc_RNA from 1 species